rnacentral:lncRNA from 1 species
CAUUCAUGUUACAGCAUUCAUGUUAAAAGAAAAUGAAACAAAAUAAAAAUAAAAAAAAUGAGAUGAAUGGAAAUGUUAUUAAUUAAUUAUUUAAUUAUCAUUUUUUAGAAAAAACAAAAAAAGAAGAAAGCGACACGUAUGCAUGGCCCACGGUCACUUCAGCGAAUUCCCAAAACCAAUUGCCAUUUUCCUUUGGCUUUAUGCAGCAACAGCAGUGCCUAAUUCAAGGGGAUUUUAAAUCCCAGCCACAUGUUCGCAUGGCAUACUCCCCCCAGCCAAUCACCCUU